rnacentral:lncRNA from 1 species
GACUGAGUUUCACCGUGUCGACCAGGCUGGCCUCAAACUCCUGACCUCGUGAUCCGCCCACCUCAUCUUACUGGUUUUUCUAAAUCUAGGCUGGCUUACUAGAGAAGGCUGAAAAAGAUGAAUAUGUGGGAAGAAUUGGUGUUUCCUUGACUGUAUUAAAAGGUGAUGAAGAUUUUCACUGGAGUGUUUGGUUGUUGAGACAGCUAUGAUUUUUAAAAGUAAAUUUUCUGGUUUCCCAAUUUUGUUUAUAUUAUCUGCAUGGAUAUUGUAUCUGAAAUGAAACUUUUUUUUUCUAUUUUGAAGGAAGAAAUGGAUAAUUUUUGCUGAAUUUCUUCCUUGUAGACCUAGUUCUAUUAUCAUUUGUUAGUUCACUGUGCUCAAGUCCACUUCUGUAUUUAGAUUUAAAGCAAAUGCUUCAGAGGCUUGCUUCUUCCGUAACCCAUCUUUCUUUAAAUGGAUUAGUAGCUUAAUUCAGCUUGCUAAUAUUCAUGGCAUUAUCCCCACUAACUUUGCUGUUUAAAUCACCGCUUUAAAAAUAUCUUGGUUAACGUUAAAUAUUUUGUGCUUAGAGGUAUAAUAAACACUGUAGUUAAAGGAU